GACGAACGCUGGCGGCGCGCUUAACACAUGCAAGUCGAGCGAUGAAAUCUUAACAGAACCCUUCGGGGCGAAGAUAAGACGGAUUAGCGGCGGACGGGUGAGUAACACGUGAGUAACCUGCCUUUUACACAGGGAUAGCCUCAGGAAACCGGGAUUAAAACCUGAUGAAACUAUCAAAUCACAUGAUUAAGAAAGUUAAAACUCCGGUGGUAAAAGAUGGACUCGCGUCCCAUUAGCUAGUUGGUGAAGGUAACGGCCCACCAAGGCAACGAUGGGUAGCCGGCCUGAGAGGGUGAACGGCCACAUUGGAACUGAGAAACGGUCCAAACUCCUACGGGAGGCAGCAGUGGGGAAUAUUGCACAAUGGGGGAAACCCUGAUGCAGCGACGCCGCGUGAGCGAAGAAGGCCUUCGGGUCGUAAAGCUCUUUUAUAUGGGAAGAUAAUGACGGUACCAUAAGAAAAAGCCCCGGCUAACUACGUG
rnacentral:rRNA from 1 species